rnacentral:sRNA from 1 species
CUUCUUCAUUAGCAUCAUCAUGCUCCAUGAUAUAUUCAUCGCUCGAUCCGUGAAUUAAGAACUGCAGCCAGUGAUUAGAUAAAGCCUAAUGAUAUCAGUCGAGGACUAAUACAUCAUGACCGGCGCAGACAGCAGACCCAUGCCACCACCUGGGAAAGCAAAUCCAACUCAUCAAACCUCCUGUGCCUUUUUUUUGUUGGUCAGGUGUCGGAGCUUGAUUGUAAAAAGAAGAAGCCAAUCGACCUUAGAUUAACCUUUUUCAACUAUACGGUGUGUUGAUAAACAUUGCUAAUCUGUACCUAUGUGCCUACAUGUUUGUGCAUUUGUAUCGCAGGCAGCAGGUAGUAGCAUAGCAGAGUAUUAUCCGUUUUAGAAUAAUCUCGAGUAGCGCACACACACUUAGCGGCGCGCACGUAUACUAGCUGUCUUCUGGAAUCAAUGACCACAUUACUCAGGACUACCCAUUGGUUUUCCAGUUCACGAUAUGCUCAUAGGAAGCGGGAGGCAGUGAAUGAGGGAAAAAGGAGGUGAUGGUUACUAUCAUGUAUGUGUGAAAGGAUCAGUACCAGUAGUACUGUGCUCUGCAAGCAAUACUGUAUCAAUACUUGAAUGUAUGGUACGCGUACGUAUUUAUCCCGUUAUCUUGUACGACUUACAUACUUACAUACUUACAUACUUACAUACUUACGUACUACUGUAUUUAUGGGAACCUUCUUUUUGGAUCUUGCCUAUCGGAUCACUUGGCUUCUUUUAGUGACUUUUUAUUGAUACAUACACUGAGCCCGCUUGGCAACGCGACGAUCGUCGAUCGUCCGGUGUUUGAGCGGAUAUAGGAGAGAGGAAUGUGUAGAAUGCAUGACUGCUUGGCCCUCG